rnacentral:rRNA from 1 species
CACGUAGGGUGCGAGCGUUGUCCGGAAUUAUUGGGCGUAAAGAGCUCGUAGGCGGUGUGUCGCGUCGGCCGUGAAAACCUGCAGCUUAACUGUGGGCGUGCGGUCGAUACGGGCAUCACUGGAGUUCGGCAGGGGAGAGUGGAAUUCCUGGUGUAGCGGUGAAAUGCGCAGAUAUCAGGAAGAACACCCGUGGCUAAGGCGGCUCUCUAGUACGGUACUGACGCUGAGACGCGAAAGCGUGGGGAGCGAACAGG